rnacentral:rRNA from 1 species
UACAGGGGCCCCAAGCGUUAAUCGGAAUUACUGGGCGUAAAGGGCUCGUAGGUGGCCAACUAAGUCAGACGUGAAAUCCCUCAGCUUAACUGGGGAACUGCGUCUGAUACUGGAUGGCUUGAGUUUGGGAGAGGGAUGCGGAAUUCCAGGUGUAGCGGUGAAAUGCGUAGAUAUCUGGAGGAACACCGGUGGCGAAGGCGGCAUCCUGGACCAACACUGACACUGAGGAGCGAAAGCCAGGGGAGCAAACGGG